GUCAAUAACCCCUGUCUGAAGACAGAGGCUUGAAAGAGUCUUUAUUGACUAGCCUCAGCGCCCCUCUUUCGAGAGGCGCUACGUUGGUUGGGAAUGUACAGGCACCGUGGGAUGUACAUCCUAGUUCCACGCUCUGCG
rnacentral:sRNA from 23 species